rnacentral:rRNA from 1 species
UAAUACGUAGGGUGCAAGCGUUAAUCGGAAUUACUGGGCGUAAAGCGUGCGCAGGCGGUUUUGUAAGACAGAGGUGAAAUCCCCGGGCUCAACCUGGGAACUGCCUUUGUGACUGCAAGGCUGGAGUACGGCAGAGGGGGAUGGAAUUCCGCGUGUAGCAGUGAAAUGCGUAGAUAUGCGGAGGAACACCGAUGGCGAAGGCAAUCCCCUGGGCCUGUACUGACGCUCAUGCACGAAAGCGUGGGGAGCAAACAGG